GGUUAAGCUGUGAUGCAGAUGGAUGUCAGCAGAGCAAAGCUUUUGAUAUAUAAGUACCAAAUUAGGCUCAGGAUUCCAUGUCUUCAUACAUGUAAUCCACUUAAGCUAUUCCGCUGCAACGCUUAGUGCGUUUUACUUUAUUGAUGUGUUGCAAAGAUUUCAAACUAAUAGCUUACAGAAUUAUGUCACUUGAUACUUAGACAACUUGUCGUUAUGUAU
rnacentral:lncRNA from 1 species